rnacentral:rRNA from 1 species
GAUGAACGCUGGCGGCGUGCCUAAUACAUGCAAGUCGAACGGGGAGUCGCAAUACUCUUAGUGGCGAACGGGUGAGUAACGCGUUGGUACCUGCCCCGAAGCGGGGGAUAACGGACCGAAAGGUCCGCUAAUACCCCAUGUGCUCGGUAACGAGUAAAGGUGAAAACCACUUUGGGAGGGGCCUGCGUCCCAUCAGCUAGUUGGUAAGGUAACGGCUUACCAAGGCGAUGACGGGUAGGGGACCUGAGAGGGUGGCCCCCCACAAUGGAACUGAAACACGGUCCAUACACCUACGGGUGGCAGCAGUAGGGAAUAUUGGUAAUGGGCGCAAGCCUGAACCAGCAACGCCGCGUGUGCGAUGACGGCCUUCGGGUUGUAAAGCACUUUUGACGGGGACGAGGAAGGACGGUACCGGUCGAAUCAGCCGCGGCUAACUACGUG